rnacentral:rRNA from 1 species
UACGUAGGGGGCAAGCGUUGUCCGGAAUCAUUGGGCGUAAAGCGCGUGUAGGCGGCUGAGUAAGUCUGCUCUGAAAGCCCGGGGCUCAACCCCGGGAGGCGGGUGGAUACUGCUCAGCUCGAGUCCGGAAGAGGAGUGUGGAAUUCCUGGUGUAGCGGUGAAAUGCGCAGAUAUCAGGAGGAACACCAAUGGCGAAGGCAGCUCGCUGGGACGUGACUGACGCUGAGACGCGAAAGCGUGGGGAGCAAACAGG